rfam:Salmo salar isolate Sally breed double haploid chromosome ssa25, whole genome shotgun sequence.
UGCAUUCACUACUAUAAGUCGCUCUGAAUAAGAGCGUCUGCUAAAUGACAAAAA